rnacentral:tRNA from 1 species
GUUGUAGCUCAGUGGUAGAGUACUCCCCUUGCGCAUGUGAGGCACUGGGUUCAAUCCUUAGCACUACA